UAGUCAUAUGCUUGUCCCAAAGAUUAAGCCAUGCAUGUUUAAGUUUAUGCACAUUAGUGUGAGACUGCGAAUGGCUCAUUAAAUCAGUUAUAAUUUACUUGAUAGUCAACCUUAUCAUUGGAUAACCGUGGUAAUUCUAGAGCUAAUACAUGCAACAAGCCUGACGCGAGGAGGGCUGUAUUUAUUGGAUACGAAACUGAUGGCAGCGAUGCCUUUGGUGAUUCACAAUAACUGUACGGAUCGUAUGGCCUUGAGCUGACGACGUUUCAUUCAAAUUUCUGCCCUAUCAACUUUCGAUGGUACGGUAGAGGCCUACCAUGGUGAUAACGGGUAACGGGGAAUUGGGGUUCUAUUCCGGAGAGGGAGCCUGAGAAAUGGCUACCACGUCCAAGGAUGGCAGCAGGCGCGCAAAUUACCCAAUGCCGACACGGCGAGGUAGUGACAGAAAAUAACGAUGCGGGGCCGUGAGGCUUUGCAAUUGGAAUGAGAACAAUCUAAAUCGCUUAACGAGUAACGAUU
rnacentral:rRNA from 1 species